rnacentral:rRNA from 1 species
GACGAACGCUGGCGGCGUGCUUAACACAUGCAAGUCGAACGGAAAGGCCCUGCUUUUGUGGGGUGCUCGAGUGGCGAACGGGUGAGUAACACGUGAGUAACCUGCCCUUGACUUUGGGAUAACUUCAGGAAACUGGGGCUAAUACCGGAUAGGAGCUCCUGCUGCAUGGUGGGGGUUGGAAAGUUUCGGCGGUUGGGGAUGGACUCGCGGCUUAUCAGCUUGUUGGUGGGGUAGUGGCUUACCAAGGCUUUGACGGGUAGCCGGCCUGAGAGGGUUACCGGCGACAUUGGGACUGAGAUACGGACCAGACUCCUACGGGAGGCAGCAGUGGGGAAUAUUGCACAAUGGGCGGAAGCCUGAUGCAGCAACGCCGCGUGCGGGAUGACGGCCUUCGGGUUGUAAACCGCUUUCGCCUGUGACGAAGCGUGAGUGACGGUAAUGAGUAAAGAAGCACCGGCUAACUACGUG